rnacentral:sRNA from 1 species
GCUUUGUUUUGCUUCGAGAUGGCUGCGGGGAUGUAUUUGGAACAUUAUCUGGACAGUAUUGAAAACCUUCCCUUUGAAUUACAGAGAAACUUUCAGCUCAUGAGGGACCUAGACCAAAGAACAGAGGACCUGAAGGCUGAAAUUGACAAGUUGGCCACUGAGUAUAUGAGUAGCGCCCGCAGCCUGAGCUCCGAGGAAAAAUUGGCCCUUCUCAAACAGAUCCAGGAAGCCUAUGGCAAGUGCAAGGAAUUUGGUGACGACAAGGUGCAGCUUGCCAUGCAGACCUAUGAGAUGGUGGACAAACACAUUCGGCGGCUGGACACAGACCUGGCCCGUUUUGAGGCUGAUCUCAAGGAGAAACAGAUUGAGUCAAGUGACUAUGACAGCUCUUCCAGCAAAGGCAAAAAGAGCCGGACUCAAAAGGAGAAGAAAGCUGCUCGUGCUCGUUCCAAAGGGAAAAACUCGGAUGAAGAAGCCCCCAAGACUGCCCAGAAGAAGUUAAAGCUCGUGCGCGCAAGUCCUGAGUAUGGGAUGCCCUCAGUGACCUUUGGCAGUGUCCACCCCUCUGAUGUGUUGGAUAUGCCUGUGGAUCCCAACGAACCCACCUAUUGCCUUUGUCACCAGGUCUCCUAUGGAGAGAUGAUUGGCUGUGACAACCCUGAUUGUUCCAUUGAGUGGUUCCAUUUUGCCUGUGUGGGGCUGACAACCAAGCCUCGGGGGAAAUGGU